AUCGAAAUCUAGAGAGGCUUCU
rnacentral:siRNA from 1 species